rnacentral:rRNA from 1 species
AGUGGCGGACGGGUGAGUAACACGUAAGAAUUUGCCUUUAGGAGGGGGAUAACAACUGGAAACGGUUGCUAAUACCCCAUAUGCUUUCGAGUGAAACGGUUUUUCCGCCUAAAGAGAAGCUUGCGGCUGAUUAGCUUGUUGGUGAGGUAAUGGCUCACCAAGGCGACGAUCAGUAUCUGGUUUGAGAGGACGAUCAGACACACUGGAACUGAGACACGGUCCAGACUCCUACGGGAGGCAGCAGUGGGGAAUUUUCCGCAAUGGGCGAAAGCCUGACGGAGCAAUACCGCGUGAGGGAUGACGGCCUAUGGGUUGUAAACCUCUUUUUUCAGGGAGGAAUCAAAUGACGUGUACCUGAAGAAUAAGCAUCGGCUAACUCCGUGCCAGCAGCCGCGGUAAGACGGGGGAUGCAAGUGUUAUCCGGAAUCACUGGGCGUAAAGCGUCUGUAGGUGGUCAAAUAAGUCAACUGUUAAAUCUUGAGGCUCAACCUCAAAAUCGCAGUCGAAACUAUUAGACUAGAGUAUAGUAGGGGUAAAGGGAAUUUCCAGUGGAGCGGUGAAAUGCGUAGAGAUUGGAAAGAACACCGAUGGCGAAGGCACUUUACUGGGCUAUUACUAACACUCAGAGACGAAAGCUAGGGUAGCAAAUGGGAUUAGAUACCCCAGUAGUCCUAGCCGUAAACAAUGGAUACUAGAUGUU